GAUGAGAUUUAGAGAUUCGUUCUUCAUUCUUCAGGGAGAAAUCAUAUCUCUGGCAAACUACAUGGAGAUUCAAAUAUAUGAUACAACUCAUAAAAUGCGUGGAAUCCUGAUAAAUUGGUUUAUUGAAGUUAACUGCAAAUUUGAUUUGAUGCCAGAAAUUUUGUUUCUCAUGGUCAUAUUAUUUGACAGAUUUCUUUUUGUUUUUGCAAUAAAAAAGAACCGACAUGCAGUUGGUUAAGGAGUUAGUUAGCCUUGCUGUUGACUCAUAUACAUUGGAGAUCAAAUGCUUUCAAUGGAAAAUCUCAUACUUAAAAGGUUGUUGUUUCGUCUUAAUGCACCAACUCCUAACGUUUUCAUCAUUAAUUUCUCAAGGCUUGUCAGUGGGAUGCUAAGGUUGUGACAUUUUCGACGCACCAAACCUUGUCAUCCUCUGUUUCCCAUCUGGAAGUUGGUAUGCCUUCUCUACACUCAGUACAUAUAACUUUCUGUGCGACUUUUUAGUCUUCUGAGGAAGCUUUUCAGAGGCUUCAUGACUCCUCGAAUGUGGAUUGACUGCUAGGUGCUCCUCAUUCCGUUUAUCAUCUGCAAGGCUGCUAGUUGUUCUCAGGUCACUGUACAAUUUCUUCUCAGAAUCUAAAACUGGUUCUGGUUGCUUAUGAGGUUUUCCAUGUCGUGGAGUUUCCUCCAUCAAGAAAUUAAAUGUAUUAUAUAUAUAUUCUAAAUCC